UUCAAUUCCCUUUUAUUGUAUAAUUUUUAUUUACUGAAUUUUUGCCCAGAAAACCCUAGGAAUCGUCCCCUAGUUUAACCUAGCUAUAAAUAUUAUUUUUACUCCCAUUUGUCAGAAUUUUCCCACUUUCUGCUCCCCUUGUCAUCCCCUCUAUUUUCCCUCACUGUUUCUUUGAAUUUUUUCUUCUUUUUCUUCCUUUUUGUGCCGCCCAAUUAAUCAUCAACUUCCCUUGCCUCAUAUUUUAUUUUGCUGCUAUUUUUUUACUGCAAUUAUCUCACCAUUGUAGCCCUUUUCUCCUCCAUUUUUGCCGUCCCAGUAAGCCACCAUCUUUGUCGUUGCCACCCUUUUGAUUCUCUGCCUCUAUUCUUCAUUAUUUCUUUUUUCGUCACGAUUUUGAGCAAGUAAAGUAAGUGCAAAUUUUUCACUUUAAUUCUUUCAGAUCUAAGUUUUUUUUUCUUUUUUUUCAUAUUCUAAUAUGGCCGAUUGAUUUUUGGCAUAGCCGAAUCUUUCAAGUUACUUUUUAUUUGGUGUUUGAAUGUUCAAGAUCUAGAUCCAAACCAUAUGGAUCAGCCAUAGCGUUGGGAAGACUGUUUGCAAAGUCAUCAUAAGUCAGUUAAGGUAAGCAUUAAUUUUCACUUCAGAUAUGAAGUUUUCAAUUAAAAUUUGUUGCUUGGUCUAACCCUAUGAGGGCAAUAGGGGGCUAAUUGUUAAUGAUUAAAACUUUAUUGGGUACAGAUCUGAGUGGGAGCUAUCUAGAUCCCAAGUCUAAGAGUUGCGAAAAAGCGACAGAUUUCAGAUUAGUGCUAAAACGUUUGGGUCUUCCCUUAUGCUUAAUUAACUUGAAAAUCAUAUAAUAUAUUUGUAAAUGGUAAAUAUGCUUUCUGGUUUUGGUUUGGUUGAAUGGCCUAAGUGCAAAUAAGUGAGGUGCCGAGCAGGGUACAUAAACAAUUAGAAAGUCUAUUUGUUAAAGGUCCUGUUUGGGUGAUGAAAUUGUGAACUGAAUGUAUGUAUAGCAUGCUAGAUUUUGAAACACUAACUGGGGUGCAUGUUUUAUGCCAUGAUUGGCAUUGACUGUAUGAAACCAUGUUAGCAUGCCAUUUUUACCAUUAAAUAAAAAGUAUGUAAAGCACAUAUCGACAUUGAAUAUUGACUUACAUGUUAAACAUGCUAUUGUACUGAAACAAUUACUGAAAGCAUGAUGUGCUUAUAGAUUGUAUGACAUAUUUAAUCUGUAUGGGGUGGGUAUUUUUGGUUGAUGGAGGAGUUUCGUGGAGUACUGACAGCAUUUAAAGUCCACAAUAUUGUUGUCAGUGUACUACACCGGAGUAUCGAGGAGAUUGGGAGAUUUAUAGCAUUUUACUGGCAAUUUUAUCUACAUACUAUUACUGGUGGUUUUAACCACAUCGAGAUUCUACUCUUAUAGUUUUAGAGUUCAAAUGACGGGUUAUAGAGAACUCGUGGUGUGUAGAGGAUGGUUGUGUAGGAUUAUUGCACUGUAUCAUUGAGCAUGUCAUAUUCAUAUGUUGUAAUGCCAUGAUAAAUUGUUUGAAAUGUUAUAAUAAUUGUGUGGCUAUUUGACUGAGUAAAUGCUUAUAUUGCUUAGACUCGUCCCUAAUUUACUCCUUACAAAUAACCAUUAGGAUUAGGGUCAGAUUCGGUGUGCAAUGACUCAUAUCAAAUUUUUACCUAAUAACGUUUAGGUUGAGUUUGGAAGGUUACAUUUGGUGGUAUUAGAGCCCGAUUUAGUAACUUAGCCUGAAAGAAACUGAAUCUGCAUGCAUCCUUUUGAAAGGGGUAUUUUGGGGAAAAACUUGUCACAGUGUUUUAUUUAAAAAAUUUUCUAAAAAAAUAUUCUUAAACUCCGAGACUCCGAUGCCAACUUUAUUAAAUACUAUUAAUAUCACACUGUAGAUAAACACUAGGAUCGAAUUGCACAAAAUUUUAAGACUUUAGAAAUUAAAAAUAUAUAGUGUUUAUGUCUUUAUGAAACUGUAGAUGAGAUUUAAAAAAUAUAAACUGAGAUGGUAUAAUGAGUACCCACGGAACACGAGCCUGUGGAAUGUGAGGUUGUAGGGGUGUCAUCGAGUGGUUCAGGCUGAGUCAUCCUUUCUGGGAAACAUGCCCAAUCUAGAGACUAGUGAAACUACUAAAACGUCUGUCAGUGAGGGCAUUAAUAAGGGAAUUGGGGAUGAUGUUAUAUCCUAAGCAAUGUUAAGGGUAAUACAGAGGGUCAUUGGGGCCUAAAUUGGUACUGGGAAUCGUGGGCCCACUAUUGAAAGUCUCUGAUCUAAUGGGGUUGAGCUAUUUAAGGGUAUUUCUAGAACAACCCCUACAGUGGUCGAAUAUUGGAUAGAAACUACCGAGAGAAUUUUAGAGGAUAUGGAUUGCAUUCCAAAAUAGAAGCUUAAGGGUGUUGUGUGCUUACUUAGGGAUGGAACUUAUCGUUGGUGGUAACUGUUAGUUAGGGGUACCAUGGCUGAGCGCAUUACUUGGACUUAUUUUCAAGAGGCCUUUCAGAAAAAAUAUGUGGGUACCAGGUAUCUGGAGGCCCAUCGGUUGGAGUUUAUUGAACUCAAGUAAGGGGACAUGUCUGUGUCAGAAUAUGAGGUAGAAUUUCUAAGGUUGAACUGCUAUGCUCCAGGUAUGAUGGCAACUCAAAAGGACAAGAGUUUGUAUUUUGAUGAGGGCCUUAGGUAUGAUAUGAAAAUUCAAGUGGCCUCGUAUCAAGAGAGAGUAUUUUAGAACUUAGUUGAGAAGGCUAAAAUUGUUGAAGAGGUUAAGCGUGAAAAGAAAGAUAAAAAAAAGGUUCAAAAUAAGAGGGAGUAUGGUUCUACUGGCCCAAAUCUGUAACCUGUGAAGUAGGUCAGAGAAGUCAAGCCACAAUAGAGCGAUGCAACAUGGGUAUUGGGGUUGGUGGAAUUCAGUUGUAUAGGUUCUGUGAUAAGCGCCAUCUGGGCGAGUGUUGGAAGAGGUUGGGUGCAUGUUUCGGUUGUGGUUCGAUUGAGCACCGAGUUAAGGACUACUUUCGCCAGGUUAAUCAGAUGCAAGCUCUAGUACAAAAUAAGCUACAAAAUUUGAGGGUUGGGUCAAUACCUCAGAGUGGUCGUGGUUCGAAUAGGAAUGGUAAUAAUGGGUAGGGCCAGCGAGCACCGGUUUAGGGUGCAAACAGAAAAAAGGCUAGGCAAUCUGUUCUAGUUUGUGCUGCAAGUUACCGAGAGGACUGAGAUGCGAUCGAUGUCAUAACAGGUACCUUCACUAUCCAUUUUCUACCUUACUUUGCUUUAGUUGAAAUUGGAGCUAUAUACUCCUAUAUUACAUAUAAUGUAUCUGAAAAACUAGAAUUGGGGUAGAAAAUACUGCUAAUACUAUUACUAUAGUCAUCCCUUUAGCACAAUUUGUGGUAGUAGAUAAUAUUUAUAAGAUGUGCUCGUUGGAAGUUCAAGAGGCGAUUUUUUGGGCUGAUUUGAUGGAACUGCUAUUUGACGAAUUUGACUUGAUAUUGGGUAUGGACUGGUUAGUUGAACAUCAAGUCAAAUCAAACUGUGCUACUAAGAGGGUAACAUUGAAGACUUCUAAUGGUAAACAUAUCGUCAUGGUUGGGGAGCAUCGGGAUUAUCUACCAAAUGUGAUCUUUGUUAUGGUAGUAGAGAAAUUUGUCUGAAAAGGGUGUAAGGCAUUUUUGGCCUAUGUCUGAGAUGCAAGUGUUACUAGUCUAGCUAUGGAGAAUAUCUUAACUAUUAAGGAGUUUUCAGACAUUUUUCUCGAGGAAAUUCCAAGGUUACCUUCGGUCGUGAGGUUGUGUUUGGAAUUGAGUUGUUACCUGGAACAACACUGGUGUACAUUGUUCCCUACUGUAUGGCACCAGAAGAACUCAAAGAGUUAAAGAUCUAACUUCAAGAGCUCUUGGAUCGCGAUUUCAUAAGACCUAGUAUUUCGCUGUAGGGCACUCCGAUUAUUUUUGUUAAGAAGAAUGAUGGUUCUCUGAGAUUGUGCAUCAAUUAUAGGCAGUUAAAUAAGUUGACAGUGAAGAAUAAGUAUCCUCUACCUAGGAUUGAUUAUCUAUUUGAUUAGUUUCGAGGGACAACAAUUUUCUCUAAGAUAAAAUUCAGAUCUGGGUAUUACUAGUUUAAAUUGAAGGAAUCAGAUGUGCCUAAAACUACAUUUAGAACUCGGUAUAGCCAUUUCGGGUUCCUGGUUAUUCCUUUUGGCUUUACGAAUGCUUCAACUGUAAAUUUUACGUGAGAAGAAGCUUUUUGCUAAAUUGAGUAAGUACAAGUUUAGGCUAAAAGAGGUAAUGUUUUUGGGUCAUGUGGUAUAUGCUGAGGGUAUCCGUGUGGAUUCAUAAAAGAUAGAAGACAUUCUGGAAUGGAAGCAGCCUAAGAGUGUUUCAGAUAUUCGAAGCUUUUUUAGUUUGGCAGGGUACUAUCGAAGGUUUGUUGAGGGUUUCUCCUUGAUAGCUGAUCCCUUAACUAAGCUAUUGAGGAAGAACACACCUUUUAAAUGGUCAGAUGACCAACAAGCCAUCUUUGAGAAGUUUAAAUUCGUGUUGGCUCAAGCUCUAGUUUUAAUUCAGCCAAAAUUUGGGAAAGACUAUGUUUUAUACAAUGACGUAUCACACACCAAUCUUGGUUGUGUAUUGAUGCAAGAUUACAAAGUGGUAGCUUAUGCUUUGAGACAACUUAAGCCACAUUAGUGCAAUUAUUUGACUCGUGAUAUAGAGUUGGCAACUGUGGUGUUUUCUUUGAAGAUAUAGAGACAUUACCUUUAUGGUGAGAAGUGUAUUAUCUACACGGAACAAAAAAAGUCUCAAAUAUCUCCUCACCUAUAAGGAGUUAAAUUUAAGACAAUAGAGAUGGAUUGAGCUGUUGAAGGACUAUGACUGUAUUAUAGAGUAUCAUCCUGGUAAAUCUAAUAUUACGGCUGAUGCUCUAAGUAGAAGAUCAAUGACUAAGCUUAAGGCUAUGUUUACAAGAUUGAGUUCGUAUGAGGAUGGUGGUCUUUCAGCUGAGUUGCAAGUUAAGCCUAAGUAGGUAAGUGGGAUUGAGGUUAAGCAACCUUUAGAUGUAUCCUUGUUGCCUCGAUUUAAAUAGAUUGAAUAUGAUAAGCCUGAGGAUUUCAGGUUGAAGUCUUAGGGUAUUAUGUGUUUCAAAAAAAGAUAAUGUGUGUCGAAUGAUCCAGAUUUUAGACAGUCCAUCUCUCAGGAAGUGUAUAGUAGCCCUUACGCUAUGUAUCAUUAGGGUAAUAAAGUGUAUCGGGACUUAAGGGAGUUGUAUUGGUGGCCCAAACUGAAGCGGGAGGUGACAUAUUUUGUAUUUAAGUGCUAAACUUGUCAGCAAGUAAAGGCUAAGCAUCAGUUUCCUUUUGGGUUGUUGUAACCAAUUAGAAUUUCGUAAGAGAAUUGAGAGAGAGUCACUAUGGACUUCAUUAGUGGGUUGCCCUUAACACUUGCUAAAAAGGAUUCGAUAUGGGUUAUAGUUGAUAGAUUGACAAAGUUGGCUCACUUCCAACCGGUUCACACUAACUAUUCCCUAAAAAAGCUAGCUAACCUUUAUAUCUCCGAAAUAGAAAGAUUGUAUGGGGUUCCUAUGUCAAUUAUUUCAAAUCGAGAUCCACGUUUCACAUUUCGAUUCUGGAAGAAGCUUUAUGAGGCACUGGGUAUUCGGUUAGAUUUCAGUACGACAUUCUAUCUAUAGACAGAUGAACAGUCCGAGCGGGUUAUCCAGGUUUUAGAGGAUUUGUUAAGGAGCUAUGUGAUUGAGUUUUAGGGUAGUUGGAAAGAGCAUCUACUGUUAGUUGUAUUCACUUACAACAACAAUUUUCAAUCCAGUAUAUAGAUGAAACCUUAUGAGGGUUUGUAUGGUUGUAGGUGUCACACUCUUUUGUGUUGGACUAAGUUGGGCGAGAGAAAAGUUUUUAGUUUGGAGUUGGUUCAAGAGACCGAGGGUACUGUCAAACUAAUUUGGGAUAAAUUAAAAACGGCCUAGGAUAGGUAAAAGUCCUAUACGGAUCUGAAGGGGAAGGAAAUUGAGUUUAUUUUCGGCCAUCGGGUUUUCUUGAAAGUAUCACCAUAGGAAAAGGUAUUGAGGUUUGGAGGAAAGAACAAGUUGAGCCCUAGGUUUAUUGGACCGUAUCGAAUUCUUAAGAGAAUUAGACUGGUGACUUAUCAGCUUAAGUUGCCUACUUAGUUGGACCGCAUUCAUGGAGUGUUGCAUGUGUCGAUGUUGAGACGGUACUAAUCAGACCCUUCUUACAGUAUCCCGAUUGAGGAGAUUAAGGUUAGACCAGACUUGUCCUUUGGGGAGAAGUCUAUGAAGAUUUUAGACAGAAAUGGUAAAAUUUCUUAGAAGAAAACAUAUCCCAUUAGUUGAAGUUCUUUGGCGGAACUAUGAUACCAAUGAAGCCACUUGGGAGCCAGAGGAGUCGAUUCGUCAACAGUAUCUUCACCAGUUCAAAUCAGGCAAAUUUCGAGGCUGAAAUUUCUUUUAAGGGGGGAGAGUUGUCACAUCCCAAAUUUCUAAUUGAAAAUGUUGUAAAAUUAUAGAAAACAUGAGUUACUGGUCUAAUGGUUAGGAGUUAAUGAAUUUGAACUUGAAACCCGAGUUUGAUUCUCCUCUUUUGUAUAAUUUUUAUUUACUGAUUUUUUGCCCAAAAAACCCUAGCUGUCACCCCCUAGUUUAACCUAGCUAUAAAUAUUAUUUUUACUCUCAUUUGUCAAAAAUUUUCCCAACUUUUUUAUUCCCCUUGUCGUCCCCUGCCUUUUCCCUCACUAUUUCUCUACAUUUUUUAUUUUUUUCUUCCUCUUUGUGUCGCCCCAUUGAUCAUCAACGUCGCUUGCCUCCUAUUUUAAUUUGCUAUUUUUUACUGCCACUAUUGCACCUCUAUAGCCCCUUUUCUCCUCCAUUAUCGUUGUCCUAAUAAGCCAUCAUCUUUGCCGCUGCCACCCUUUUGAUUAUUUUCCUCUACUCUUCGUUAUUUUUUCUAUCGUCACGGAUCUGAGCAAGUAAAGUAAGUGCAGAAAUUUUACUUUAAUUCUUUCAUAUCUAAGUUUUUUUUGCUCUUAUUUUCAUAUUCUGAUAUGGCUAAUUGAUUGUUGGCAUGGCCAAAUCUUAUAAGUUAUCUUUUAUUUGGUGUUUUAAUGUUCAAGAUCUAGAUCCAAACCAUACAGAUCACCCGUAGCGUUGGGAAGACUAUUUGCAAAGUCAUCAUAAGUCAAUUAAGGUAAGCAUUAAUUUUUUACUUCAGAUCUGAAGUUUUCGGUUAAAAUUUGUUGCUUGGUCAAACCCUAUGAGGGAAAAAGGGGGCUGAUUAUUAAUGAUUAAAACUUUAUUGGGUACAGAUUUGAGUGGGAGCUAUCUAAAUCUCAAGCAUAAGAGUUGUGAGAAAGUGAUAGAAUUUGGAUUAGCGCUAAUAAGUGUCUUCCUCUAUGUCUAAUUAACUUGAAAAUCAUAUAAAUUUAUAUUUAAAUGAUAAAUUUUCUUACUGGUUUUGGUUUGGCUGAAAGGCUUAAGUGCAAAUAUGUGGUGUGCCAAGCAAGUUACGUAAUUAAUUAGAAAGCAUGUUUAUUAAAGGUCUUGUUUGAGUGAUGAAAUUUUGAAUUGGGUGCAUUUAUAGCUUGCUAGAUUUUGAAACACUGAUUAAGAUGCAUUUCUUAUGCCAUGAUUGAUAUUGACUAUAUGAAACCAUGUGAGCAUGCAAUUGUUACGUUAAAUGAAAAACAUGCAAAGCAUACAUCGACGUCGAUAGUGACUUGCAUGUUAAACAUGCCAUUGUACUGAAAUAGUUACUAAAGGCAUGAUGUGCUUACCGAUUGUAUGACAUAUUGCAUCUAUAUAGGGUGGGUAUUUGUGGUUGACAGAGGAGUUCCAUGAAGUACCGACGACAUUUAAAUUCAGUAAUAUUGUUUUUAGUACACUACACCAUAGUACCGAGAAGAUUGGGUGAUUUAUUGCAUUUUACUGGCAGUUUUAUCUGCAUACUAUUACUGGUAGUUUUAACCACAUCGAACUUCGGCUCUUACUAUUUUGGAGUUCGGAUGACUGGUUCUAGGGAACCUGUGGUGUGUAGAGGAUAGUUGAGUAGGAUUAUUGCACUGUAUUAUUGAGCAUGCCUUAUUCAUAUGUUGUAAUGCCAUGAUAAAUUGUUUGAAAUGUUAUAAUAAUUGUAUGCCUAUUUGACUGAUUGAAUGCUUAUAUUGCUUAGACUCAUUGGGCUUUUAAAGGUCACCCCAUUAAUUUACUUCUUACAGAUAACCCUCAGGACUAGGGCCGGAUUCGGCGUAUGGAGGUCUCAUCUCGUAUUUUUACCUAAUAAAGUAUUUUGAAUUUUAUUUUAUUUAUUUUGGUAUUAUUAUUUUGGGAUUGUAAUUUUUAUUUAAGUAUGGACUGUGGUAUGAUACACUUUUAACUUGGAUUUUGCUUGCAUGAGUUUUUUUAUGAAAACUGAACAAAUUUUAAAACUGACUUAAUAUGACUUAAAAAAUACGAAUUUUUCUACGAAAAUCAAAUGCAAUACUUUUUCUGCCGUGUAACGGUAAAACAAAGGUUUUAAAAGGGUUUUCCGACGAAAUCAACUGAGUUUUAUUUCUAACGACACGACCUUUUAAUAAAUUGAAGUUAACAAUAAAUGACCUAACAAACUAGUGUUUUUAGCAACCCUUAUUUGACCAAGCUAAGUUUUCUGAAAAAUCAAACAAAAUAAUGGUUUUUCAAUUAGACGUUUUUACUUAGCCAUUUCGGUGGCUAAUAUAACCUUCGGGAUUUGGUCAUAACAUUUAGGCCGGGUUUGGAAGGUUACACUAAGAUUACCUAGAAGCACAUUUUACUUAAUUUUCCUUGUUAUAGAAUUUUUUUAAUUGGUUUAAUUUCCUUAAUUUUUUAGUCUCAA
rnacentral:lncRNA from 1 species